rnacentral:misc_RNA from 1 species
UUUCCGUAGGUGAACCUGCGGAAGGAUCAUUCAUAAUAAGUGUUUUAUGGCACUUUUUUAAAUCCAUAUCCACCUUGUGUGCAAUGUCAGGGUUGAUAUUUCUCUCGAGAGGAUCAACCCCAAACAUCAACUAUAUCUCAACUCUUUGUCUGAAAAAUAUUAUGAAUAAAACAAUUCAAAAUACAACUUUCAACAACGGAUCUCUUGGCUCUC